rnacentral:rRNA from 1 species
CACGUAGGGGGCAAGCGUUGUCCGGAAUCAUUGGGCGUAAAGCGCGUGUAGGCGGUCCGGUAAGUCGGCUGUGAAAGUCCAGGGCUCAACCCUGGGAUGCCGGUCGAUACUGCCGGACUAGAGUUCGGAAGAGGCGAGUGGAAUUCCCGGUGUAGCGGCGAAAUGCGCAGAUAUCGGGAGGAACACCAAUGGCGAAGGCAGCUCGCUGGGACGUUACUGACGCUGAGACGCGAAAGCGUGGGGAGCAAACAGG